CCUACGGGCGGCAGCAGUGAGGAAUAUUGGUCAAUGGGCGCGAGCCUGAACCAGCCAAGUAGCGUGAAGGAUGACUGCCCUACGGGUUGUAAACUUCUUUUAUAAAGGAAUAAAGUGAGGCACGUGUGCCUUUUUGUAGGUACUUUAUGAAUAAGGAUCGGCUAAUUCCGUGCCAGCAGCCGCGGUAAUACGGAGGAUCCGAGCGUUAUCCGGAUUUAUUGGGUUUAAAGGGAGCGUAGAUGGGUUGUUAAGUCAGUUGUGAAAGGUCGGGGCUCAACCGUAAAAUUGCGAGUGAUACUGGCAGCCUUGAGUACAGUUAAGGUAGGCGGAAUUCGUGGUGUAGCGGUGAAAUGCUUAGAUAUCACGAAGAACUCCGAUUGCGAAGGCAGCAUACUAAACUGCCACUGACAUUGAUGCUCGAAGGUGUGGGUAUCGAACAGGAUUAGAUACCCGGGUAGUC
rnacentral:rRNA from 1 species